ensembl:lncRNA
UGGAGCUCUUUGAUACCGGCCAGCUCACUUCAUAGUGUCCACGGCUGGCUUUUUUCUAACACUGGAGCUUCCAGCUGCAGAGAAGGAGUGUUGUAGAGAACAGCACUUACAGAAGAAUACAAGAGAUCCCCAGAAAAGGAAAGAGGAGGCUGUAAAGGAAAAGGCAGUGCCCAGGCAGCUUGUUUAUAUCACCUCCGAGAGCUGAUGGCGUGCUUAUCGCACACAGCACAAGGCUCAGUUGUCCAGACAAUCAUCUAAUUGUCUUUACUUGACCAGAGAGUUACUUAAGAAGCUGAUGUUCCUCUGCCUCCAGAAGUUGGAGAUUUGUAAAAGACCUUCGAAAGCAGAGAAGCCAUAGGCGUGGGAAUGGACAACACACCAUUAUUAUGGAAUAUGACAGUAAGUAUAUAAGUCAAAGAGCUGCAAAGAACCUUAAUUCAAAUAAGAAGCACUUUACAGUAUCUAAAUAAUGUAAGGAAAGACGCAUUUCAGUUAUUGCUGUCAUUUCUUUUUCCUGUCCCACCUCCCUGUGCUUUCCAUCUCCUGAUAACUGUGUGUGUCAGCAUGAAAAAUGACUGUAACGUCCUUGGGUAAGGAAGUAGUUUCAUUACUUGUUUAUACAUUGCCCUCCACGGUGGGUAUGGAUUCUGAGCCCCUCAUACACUGUUGUCUUGUAAGCAACGAAGGUGAUGUGUGCUCAUGGUGUGCUGUGCUAGAACAAACAGGAACAGGAGAGAAAUUCAAUGCUUGUAUUUAUUUUACGUUUGUUUUGUAGCUCUGCUUCGGGUUUGCAGGCCAGAGGGGAAAGCAAUUAUAUGGGCAGAUCUAUAGAUGGCAUAAAUUGGUGGUACCUCCACUUGCUCAGGUUUUUGAUAGCUGGGGAUCUGGCCCACAUCUUAUCAAGUUUUCAGCUUGUAAACUGGGCAAG